rnacentral:rRNA from 1 species
UACGAAGGGGGCUAGCGUCGUUCGGAAUUACUGGGCGUAAAGCGUGCGCAGGCGGCUUCUCAAGUCAGGGGUGAAAGCCCAGAGCUCAACUCUGGAAUUGCCUUUGAGACUGAGUGGCUUGAGUACGAGAGAGGUGAGUGGAAUUCCCAGUGUAGAGGUGAAAUUCGUAGAUAUUGGGAAGAACACCGGUGGCGAAGGCGGCUCACUGGCUCGUAACUGACGCUCAUGCACGAAAGCGUGGGGAUCAAACAGG